rnacentral:lncRNA from 1 species
ACGGCUGCUGGGAGAGAAAGUGCCAGUCGGAGAAGUCAAAAAUCAAAAAGAAAAAUCAAAAGAACAUCGGCAUUGGAGGCACAUGCAAUAAAGGAGUCCAGGUGGUAGUUGGAGGUUGGAGGCUGGAAGGAACACACAGGUCUCAAAGGAAGUGGCUGAGGGAUCUGCAGAGACUCAUCUGAGCCUGUGGCUGAUGACAGGGUGUUGGGGCAGCCACGGCCGAGAGGGCCGUGCUCGGAGCCACACAGCUUUCAGUGCUCACGAGAAGGGACUGGCCCUCCCCAGGGCUGACCAAGUUCCUCAGUACUGCAUCCAGCUGUGCUCCUGGCCUCAUUUCUUCUCUCCUUCAUGAAUUAACUCCCAGACACAGCAGCCCCUGGAGGUGGUGGGGACUAACCAGGGACGGGAAAGGGUCAGUCAGCCUGUGGUCAGCAGGGUGGGCGGGUGCAGGCCUGGUGUUCCCAGGAUACUUUGCUGGGUCAUGCAGUUAUCCCCAUCACGUAUCACUCCAGCUCCCUGGCGGGCACAGCCUGUGGCUGUUCCUGGAGGCACCCCUGGAAUGAGUACAGUUCAUGGACAGGCUUCAAAACAGCCCAGAGCAAAGAUUUGGGUCUGAGGGCGGGGGCAUGGCUCUGCGGUCUUCGCCUCCACGGUUCCCUGACUUGGUCCUGCAGUUGCCCAGGAGAGGCAAGGCCACCUCCUUGUUAAGGGCUUGCUUGUUCCUGGUGGUCUCUGUCAGGAGCCCCCACCCCGCUGGCCCCAGACUCCAACACCUGUCCAGGUGUGUGAGCCAGUGUACAUCUGGCAGCAGAGAGGCCUGUACGAGCACAGCCCACAGGCCCCAGUGACGUUUGUCAAGUGUUUAUUCUAUCAACAUUCUUCAUUUCUGGCCUGAUUUCAAUCCUAGGAGGUGGGUACAAUAAGUCCAAUUCUAAAAAUAAUAAAAUGGAACAGAGACCUGAGGAGUUGGCUUCAUGAUGGGGGAUCAAUGUCCCAAUUUUAGCACCAAAGUCCUGCGACCUGGGAAGCCCUCGGUGCUGGGCAAACCAGGAUGGUUGUUGCCCUGAUUCAGGAUCACCCAGGUAAUAGGUAGAGGGCUGAAUUCAAGCCCGGCUCAGCCGCAUGGAGCCUCGGCCUGCACUCUGCACUGCUUCUGAGCGGUGCUGGGAGCAGCGCUGUCCAAGGAGCCCGGGUCAUAAAACCCAGCUGGUGAAUAGGAACCAUGUUUGUAUGUUCUAGAAGAUGAAAGAAUAGAAUUGAAUUGAAUAAUAAAGAUCAGAGUACAUUAUGCACAAUUAGGACACAUAUAUUUUAAUGAAGAAAGUAAUUUAAAUAAAAAUGUGUUUUAUUUAUGCUUAUAUAUUUUUGCUUGUGUAUAUAUGUGUGUAUAUAAUGUUUUAGAUAUACAAAUAUAUGUGUUAUAAGUAUGUUUGGUAUUUUAUUUCAUAUUUUAUAUUUAUGUUUUAUGUUGUAAAUAUGUUUAUCGGUUAUAAAUCUAUGUGAAUA